AUGCAUUGGUGACUCAUAAACCCGAGGACUGGCUUUUCACACCAUCUUGUGAGAUGUGCCUCCCUCCAACCUUAUUAGGAUGUUGGUAAAUGACCCAUUUCAUG